GAUUACCUCCUGGACCUGCGGGAUUUCUCUCCUCCACCUCUCUUCCACACCUCCUCCCGAACCCUCUAUCCCGCCGGAGGUGGAGUGUGACGGGCGCAGAUGGCGGCGACAAAAGCGCGCGGCUGAGGACGGCGCCGAACAACCGGCAUUAUCGCCGGAUCUUCUCGACCAACCCCGCUCCUCCGCGAGCACCUGGCCGCCCCGGCCGCCUCCAAUGCCCAGCGGCACUCCGCCUCCACUGCUCCACCACUUCCUGGACGCGCCCGAGCCCUCGCUGCUCCACCAGCGCAUGGCCACCUCGGCCACCUACAGCUCGCCCCUCUGCUCCACGCCUCCCCACGUGCACCGCCGACGGCCCUUGUCAUCCCCCUGUCCGCUAAUGGUGGCGACGCGGGACACGCCGCCAAAGCUGGGUACGCUGGACAUGCCACAGAAGCUGGGUACGCGGUACACACUUCCGUUGCCAGGGACGUGGAUAGCUGCUAGGUAUGUUGGCGCUGCUAUUGCCGGUCUGAUGUCGUUGCCGGGAUAGUUGCAGAUAGGUUGAAUCUGCGGAGCAACGCAACGAAGGGUGGUGACAGGGGAGUAGGCGCGCAGCCGGGAGCAAGCCGGCGGGCCCGUGGCAGAUGCCUGCGGCAUGUGAGCAGUUGGCGCGGGUAAUAGCGACCAUGCAGCAUCAGAUUCCCCAUUGGGAUGAUAUGCAACGGAGGUAACAUCGCUAGCUUCUGACAUAUAUUGGACCCGUGAAAGUCUCUAUGCUCACAACGUGUUCGACGAAAUAACAAUGGUGUUGUGCUUUUGAGGUCAGUCUCCAAAAGGGAGCAUCUGCAGGCAUGUAAGUUGCCGGAUCCACAUGCAGGAGGAUUUAUGGAAGAGGAAAACAUGUAUGGGAAGGAGCGGAGGGGGUUCUGCAUGGCCUCCAGCAGCACCAUAUUCAAGGAAUUCGUACAGCAGUGUUACCUCUUGCCUUCCAGUUUGCUUUCAUGGUUAAACUCAUGUUUAAAUAUAUGGACGUGUCCUUUUGAAUAUGUAAAUGUUACAUCUCUGAUAAUUUGCAUGGUAUAUCUAACCAUUCUUCCCUUUCUUUAUUAUUUAGCGAAGGUAAGAUGAAAUUUACCUGUGUGUAGUGUACCAUGUUAUGUAGGUAGACCAGACAGUCAGAUUUGAAAAUUGUUUGGCCAUGGCCAUACAUUUAGCUGCUUGGAGUAUAUUACCUGCACAGGUUCCUUGUUACAUGGUUCCCAACUUCCCAUUAUGUAUGGCAAAAGAUCUUCCCAUUGACUAACGAUGUUUAAAUACAUAAGAGAACAUUCAUAUGCUGUUUUCCUACAAAUCUAACUAUGAACCCCAGAAGUGAGUUUAUGAUCAUUUCUUAUUAAAUCAUUGAAGUGAUUGCUUUUCUCUCUGAUUUUCUUUGUGUGACAUAUAUAGAGUCGUCUUAUAGUUAUAUUUGGCCUGAAACAAAAUAAUGUCCAUUCACUCCAAACGACCAAACCUACAAUUUUUGUUAGUGGAAUUUUAUGUUUGUCACAGUCGGCACUAAGACAUACUUGCAUCAAGCAUAUCAUUUUUAUAUAAGGAUAUACGCAACAAACAGUGUGUUGCGAUCAUUUUUCUAUAUAUAGUCAGAACUGAGACACAACAUGUGUACUCUCUUUGAAAGCAGGUGAACCCGCUGGAUCUCUUCGUCAACGACUUUAAUGGGGAUGAGGUCAGGGCUGGAGCUGCAUUUCCACUGCUCUCUCCAGCUCACAGCUGGUUAUGCAUGCUUUACCUUAUAUCUGCCCAGUGUCAAAUUUCAUGCACUUUUCUCACGGUAUAAUAAAGAAACGCACCAUCAUGCAAGAUGGCGGCUCAAGUUCUUUCUACAAUGCACGAUUACUAUUCUUCAAGAAAAAAGGAACUGCUACUCACCCGCACAUCGAGGUUUAUGCUAAAGCAUGAGUAAACCUAUAGAAAAUUUUCCUGCCUACAAGGUCAAAAAAGACGAUUGCUGAUGCAGCUUAUUGCCCGCAUAUAUGAUAGAUUUUUAGUUAUCUUACCCUCUUCUUCUAUAAGAAUAGAUCACUAAUGCUAAUGCAGCUUAUUGCGAUCUUGUGUUGUAGUAGUAUUUCCCCCUUAUGCAGUAGGUCUCUCGCAAGCUUAUUGUAUGGCAAAUAAUGUGUGAGGUUUCAGAUUCAGGAAAUUUAUU